AGCCUGGUCCUGGGGCAGGCAGAGCCGCGGGAUGCGAGGAGGAGGAGGGAGGUGGGCUGGAAGUUGCUGGGGCACCCUCCAUCCCUGGGCACAUCAUUUCCACCCGCUGAGGCUGAGCUGUGGGAGCGAGCCCUGUGCCCGAAGAUGCUGCAGGGUGCGACUGGGGAUUCGCCCUUUUGCCGUGACACUGCAUCGCAGAGAGCGGACGGGGUUUUUCUGGAGGGGUCGGGGAAGAGGGGAUCGAGGGGUUCAGGGAUGCAGAGCAGCGGUGCGGGGGCUGCCCGCUUUGGUACCCAUUUUCCAGCAGCGCUCUGCAUGUGUCAGCCCAUCCCAGGGAUAUGGGAGACGGGGAGGAGUAAGCCAUUCCUUGCUUAGGUGCUUUAAUGGCACGGUAAACAGGUUAGAAACAGACGUUUUUAAAGACUCAAUUUUUCUUUAUUGGUCACCUUCGAGGAUAAAUCAUAACAGACAGUAUGAGGAGCAAAGAAUUCAUCUAAAGGAGAUCUCAGCAAGUCACUACCCGGACAAUAGUCCACCUCCUGUUGGGUUGCGUAUUGAUCAGGAGAGGAGCUGAGGAUGUCGCCACACUAAAUAUUUACUGAUCACACACAAAUAGCCGCGACUUGAACGAUUUUCUCCUGUGAGGAGAGCAGAGAGAGAAGGGUAAAUCAUUUUAUUAGUGUGUAUAAAGCAAAGAGCACACUCUGGCUUGGAGUGUUUUAAGAUGUGUCUUCAGCUGGAUGAAAAGAGUUAGGGAAAUCGAUAUGGAGUGAUUAGACGAACCAGUCGUGUCAAAGAGAGAGGCUGUGAAUUUCAUGGAUUUGGUUAUAGCGGGAGGGGGAAAAUAUACCGAGAGAUUAAAGGGAGGAACCCAUUGUAGCAGAGCCAAUGAAAAAAUAAUAUCUAAUCAGAGCCGGCAAAGGUAGGGACGGGAUAAGACCCACAUUUCUAAAGAAUCACAUCAGCUGGAGAGGGAUCAGGGACACACAUGAAAGAGGCAAGCGGGGGGAGAGCUGGAGAGUAGGAGCCUAGAAAUGCUACAGAGCAAAUCUAGGAAGAGGCAGAGAAAAGUCGACUCUGUGGAGCAAAGCUGAGAUACCACGAAAAUGGGGACAAAAGGCUCACGAGCGAGGGAGAGGGCUGGAGUAAUCGGGCGCCUGCCUUGGAGGUGAAGUUGAGGGGUCCCCAGCCCUUGUACCCACCAGGCAGAGAGGGCUCUAACAGCAGAAGCGAGGGCACAUCCAGCUCCCAUCCGAGGGGUUUAAAUCCUUCUCCUACAAGUUUGUCCUACCCUCUCCUUCCCGCCCCCCUCCCUCCCCACAAGCAAAUGUGGUGAGUAAAAUGGAUUUUAGCGUUUAACCACCUCAUUUUAUCCACCUAAUGACAAGGCUCGUAAUAUGUAAUCUACAGAUUACUGCCAUUCGAGGGUGACCACAAGUGGCAUAAAAAAAAAUUUAAAAAAAGAAGAAAAAAAAUAUCAGCAUUUCUGCAAAUGAAAAAAAAAGGCUAAAAUCAGUCCUUGCUUUAAGUACUGAAGUUGGGGAGUUGCUGCUGCAGGAUUUUAUCGGUCGUAGGGAGCAAUGUAGCCGUGGUUCAGGUACAGCCUUGGGGUGUCUCGGCGGAUUAAAGAAAACUUUGCUGGAGACAAGCAAAUAUCUGAGUGCCAAAGGGCAGAAAGCUGGGAGUAGGGCAGGACUCUGCCAAGAUACGUUAAAAUACGUUCUGUAGGGAUGCUCGGGAUUAUUAUUAUUAUUAUUUUGCCUCGAAUCCGUGAUGUUUGGCCCGUGUUCACAUGCUACCUUCUCUCCGCGUAUUUUUCUUUAGCAGAAAAUAGGAUGCGACUGCAGAGAACUAAGUCAAAUGAGCGAGAGAAAGUUUGAACCGCACUUUAAAUGAUGCUGUUUGCUGAGAGGGAGGAAAGGCAUCUCAAGCUAGGAACCGAGGAGUAAAACUAAUGUGAAAACAGCUUUUCACUUCUCCUCCAAGUGCUAAUUUUGCUACUGUAAACAAACACUGAAGUUAGAAACAGCUGCAAAUAGCCUGCCGGGCACCCAGGGCUCGGGGACCGGAGGGGGUUGACUUUUGUUCAUUUCUCGGGCUGAAUGUUCCCCCAGCUUUGCCUUUUUUUUUAUCCCGAAAUCAGGGGCUGAUGCUGAUUUCAGUCGUGGAGAGGGGACAAAAAGUAUAGGCAUAUUAAGAGCAUUUCAUGUGAGCCUGUGGAGUGCAGGCAGCUCGGCUGGAUCACUAAUGCAACAGGAAACCUCGGGACAGACUCAGCCUAAUUAACAGUUUUCCAUAGCUGAAGCGAUUUUUAAGAAUCCCAGUGGAUUAGCCCAAUAUGUUCAGGUGUGAGGCUACGAGGGCCUAUAACUCCUUUCACUAUAAUCUUAUAACCUCCUUACCUAAUUCCUUAGAUUGCAGAUAGGAAGAGUCUGACCCUGGAGGUCGUAAAGAGCUGGGUUUCAUUAACCCUUCCCUCCCCGGCGCCGCUCCAAGGUUAACUGCGCCGGGCUGUGUGCUCGGGGGAGCGAGGGAGGGCGGCCAGGAGAAAGGGAUUUGCAAGAGGGGUCGAUCCGACGGGAGGGCAAAGCUUAAAAUGUUUUCUGCUCCCUUCAUUCCCUCCCUUCAACCAAAGGAAAUAUGGAAAUAGGGAACUUUUCUCUCCCAUGCAUCCGGAGGUGCAUAAAUGUACGGAUGUUUGUGAGGCAAUUCCUCCCCUUUACACCAUUUCAUUACUGUUUAUUAUUUCUAAUUUUUUUCCCCCCAAACGUGGAGGAAAUGAAACAUUCUAGAACCAUCAGCAAAAAGCAAAGCAAUCUCCAUCUUUAGGACCAGCACCAAUCUCUUGAGCUUCUUGUCCACAGUAGAGCUGUAAUCUUUAAAGAAAAAAAAAAUACCUAGAAAAGCUUCUCAGACUGUAUUUGCCUGGGAACACACCUGGUUUAUAUUUUAAUAGGUAGUUACAUUGUAUUGAUUCAGGGUACAUCACUGAUGUUGAAAGUUAAUAACUCUCAAAUUAUAUCUAUCUGCCUACAUACAUAAUUGCAUACACAGUAUAACACUGGGGGAAUUUGCAUUUUGCAGCACAUUCUUUGUUCUUAAAUCUUUUAACACAUUGAAUUGUUCCUUUGAAGAAAAUGUUAUUGAACCACAUGUUUAAGGAAAAGAUGCUUCUAAACUAUAUGUUUAAGCAAUGAAAUUGUUGAGUGAAAUACAGAUUUCUUUGUAUCUCACACAAACCUUGCCACACGCCAAUCUUAACCUACACAUCGAACUGCCUUUUUUUUCCCCCUCCCAGUUAGAAGGCAGAAAUAUGUGAACUGCUGAGAGAGGUGGGUACUUUUUGGUAAGUAUGUUUAGAUAUGAUCUUCAGAUACAUUUAUUGUACUUUCAGAUUCUUGGGAUACUAAUUGAGCUAGCAAACAAUAUCCCAGCUGAAUGUCUCAGCUUCUUGCCUAUUUAACAGGCUUUAAUAUAGAAGUAUAUUGUAGUCACCCUUCUACUAAACAAUGCAGCUGAGGAGUCAGCAAAAAAUGAAAAAAACGUGUUAAAAUCAAAUUAUAAUUGCUGCCUUAUAUCUGACUCUUCUUCCUUUCCGCAGUCCUAAUGAACUCUUUAAAGUUUUAUUUAUUUAUUUUUUUAUUUCUGAAUGACAGAUCAAAAAUAAUUAGCAGAAUCAGAAGCAGCCGGGAAGCUUGAAAUAAUGUGUCUAAAUAUUUCAUAUUGCUACUUAUAAUACCAGCCCUUCAGUUGUAAAAAGGAGCCAUUCCCUAUUUAUUCUGUGGUGGUUUAUAAAUACAGAAGGAUAGAUUCUUUUUUUUUCCCAGGGCCUGCCUCAGCGAUGCCAUAAAUAGAGAUAGGGCUAUCAGGAAGAAAAAAAAAGAGAAAGAAUAAAAUAAAAGCAAAACCCUGGACAGGAAUAGAGACAGGCAGAUAAAUGUAUAACUGCAUCUGAACAAUGUUACGUAGCACAUUAGGAGUUGGUAAAAAAAUUAAAUCUAUCGCAUAUUUAUAACCUCAUAAUUAAAAUCCAUUCUUAUCUCUCCCUUCUGAAAGGUUGCAGCUUUCUUGGAAGUAUUUUGAGUGCAUAUUUUAAACUCCAUGUCUCGAAUUGAAUUAAGAUGAGCUGUUUUGCCCAAGAGUAAAACCCUUGUUUACAAUUUAAUGUUUAACUUUCAGCUGCCUACCCAUCGCCAUAUCAUUUUCUUUAGAUUUCACCUCCUCACAUUUGCAGACUUUAUUUAAAAUGAUAUUCGCUUAUAUCAAAUCCUAAUUUCUUAUCAUGAGAGAUGAGUCAAUAUAAUCCAAAGCAGUCCCCCUGGUCUGAUCGAGGUGAACUGGAUGAGAAUAUUUCACAUUCAAAGGGUUAAAGCUGAACCGAAAACUUUAAAGCAAAGAGAUACCAGAAAACAGUGAAAAAUGGUACAUCUGCUCUCUUUUGACAAGCUUGCAUUAUAUCACAUGUAAGGAAGCCCAAAUUUUUGAAUCUAAGACCAGUUUUAGUUUUUAAUAGGAAAUAAUUACAUGGAACUUUAUUUCCAGAGAGAAUGUCCCUUCCAGCUACAGUGUUUUGCUUUGAUCUAGGUAUUAACUGGUAAUAAAAUAACCAUAUUUUGGAUCUUAAGCAUAUUGAUGCUUAGAGGAAUGUUAUGCUUUCAAUCAAAUUUUAACUUUAUAUCCGAAGGUAUUCAUCCCUCUUUUGUCAAAAACCAAUUUGCUCUCUUACUCCUACAGAUACUCACAUGCGGUUUAGUAUACUUUGUUAUUUUAUAGUGGAAUUUGCACUAUCGAGGUGGAAAACUUUUAGAUGGAAUGAGAUCAUGUUCCAGCCUGGCAAUUUGGGCUGUUUCUCAUACAGGUCUCCAGUCCAGCCCUUCUUUACACUUGUUGUGCACCACCGCCAUGGCUCACCUCUGAGGGCGACCGCCACGUCAGGAUUUUGUUUUAAAUAUUCAGAUUUUUUUAGGGUUUUUAUUUUUAACCUGGAGAAUCAAUCAUUUGGACCCAUCCUGAACAAUUAACCUCCCCUUUAUAUUACAGCCCCAAGUGCAGUACUUCAUAAAGACAUGAAAAGGACAUCCCAGUCAGCAGGACCCGAGCCCAGGCCUGUCACAGAGUAUAAAAGGAGAGAGAAGGGGAGUUUUUAUCUCUUUGCCCUGCCAAUUCUUAAUAGUUCUAAGUUUCGAUGUGACAAUAAAACAGUUUUGAUAACAUAGCUCAUGGGUUUCUCUGCCACAUAAAGUUUUCUUAAUAAUAAAAAAGAAGAAACUUUAUCCCUGCUAAAUUAAAAUAGGGCAGAUGUUGGAUAUGGUUCAUAUUAGCCAGCCUUUCACCCCUUUGCCCCUGGCACUAAAGUUCUGACUUUUUCUUUCUACUAUGUCUGUUUCUAACUGAAAGGUAUUAUUCCUGCCCUGGCUCUCUUCUUCUAUUUAUUUUUUCAGUGUCUAAAAUUAAACCUAUUCAUUUAGUAAUAUACAUUCUAUUUCACAUUGCUAAACCUGGCCAGGGAGGGGAAACGUUUUCCAGAAAAGUGAUGCACCACUGACCUUAAAAGAAAACAUGCAGCAGGGAAAGCUGCUCUUAAAAGGUUUAUUUCUAGAGAAUUUUGUAACUCUGUUGACAUUAUAGGGAUAAUGGCUGUAUUGCAAUGGGCUUUCAAGGCCCAAGAGGUUUAUGUUUCCUUCUGACCAUAAGUCUAAUAAAAUUUUAAAGGUGCACAAAGUCUCAUCACUUUAGAUAUUUAAAACUAGCUUGAAAAAUCUCUUGGGAAACAUACACUACGGUGGAUAGCCCCACUGAGAAAGCAGGGGAUAGACAAAAAAAAUACCCUGAGUCCAAAUCCAAAUAAGCCCCCCCCCAGUUUUUUUCAUGCUAGCUCUAGGAAAAUCCUGGCUAUUAAACUCCCAAGGAUAGUAUAGCUCUUUUCUCCAGGGCUGUGCAGAUAGAAUUUAUUGUCCAUUUGGAAUGAUCAGGUUUAGGCUAAUAAAAGGUCCUCUGUAAGCAGAAAUGCCCAAGUUGAUGUUUGGCAGAGUUUUCAAUGGUGGAGUUUAUACAGGACAGGGGCUCUGCACUAUUUGAAAUUACUCCUAUCCCAGCAGCUGAAGAUGAUCUGACACACAAGUAAACGUUAGCAGGCAGUGACUGAAGGUUAAUCAGCACUGCUUUCUGAGCUGGGUGCUUGAAAGCAGGAAAAAGUGAAAGCUGCUCUCUCUAGCCCUUCCCUAUGCUAAGGUGCUGCUAACUUUUAUGAUUUUUCCCCCCUUCCUCUUUUACUAUCUGUCUUUAUGCCUGAGGGCCAGUGAAAGAACACUGCAGAUUCUAGAUUGCUUUCAGAGUUUCCCUUUGCUGAUGAUGGAUUACCAUGUCAAUUUAAACGGCAUAGGAUUAAUUUGUUUCAAUGAUUUCUCUUUAGGCUGAAUGCCAGUCUUUUUUUCUAUCUCUCUCCUUGCUCUUCAGAAAAAAUAAUAACAAUAAUAAUAAUAAAUCCUUAAACCCCCCAAACAGUUUUGAUAUCCCAUGUUAAAAAGACAAUAAUAGAAAUAGACAAGUUAGGUGUAAUGUUGCAACACAGUUGUAGGUUUGAGUGUUUUUAUCUCAUUCUGAGGGGCUGCAGCAUACAGUCAGUCACAUUAAAAUGAAAUUGGAUCCAACGUUUAUUCAAUAAAUACUUGUCUUGUAGGUAAUCCAGAGCAGAGUGCUUUUGACACAUAAGGACUUAAUUUGUCUUGGAUAACAAGUUAUUAAUAUGGCACAUUUAAACUUGCCACCUACAAUAAGGUCAUUUAGAUCUAUAAUACGACUCAUGAGAGAACUUCAUAAAGCCAGAAACAAAGUUUGAAACUGCCUCUGAGGCGUGGAGCAGACGCACGGCUCACGGUUUGCUCUUUUCAGAAGAAAGUUCAGAGCAAGUAGGAGCCACCCAAACCCAAAUGGUGUGCAUCUGCUCCUCUCUGAAAGGCAAACGUAAAUGGAGUAAGGAGGGGAGAAAAAAAAAAAGGAACCCAAACACACAUUUUUGAAUGAGUAAGCUUUAAAGCUGUGCUGCGUCUGCUCGCAAACUCAUCGCAGCUUUGAAAGUGAAAAAACAACAUUUGGUUCAGAGUGGAAAUUCGCCUGCAUUUGCACCCUACCUCUUCCAUGUGCUUCGCAAUUUACUCGCUUUUAAUAAUAAGUGAGGAAGUUGGAACAUAAUCCACCCAUAAAUGUUAUUGCUGUAAUUUUGACUGCUCUGUGUUUGUUCAUGCAUUAGUUGUAUGUGUGAAAGUGAAGUGUGGGGAUGGAUGGUCGGGAUCCCUGUACAGCACGAACAAACAGAGGUGUUUUGGAUUUCAACACCCAAACAUCCUGCAAUUGUUUUCAGUUUUGGGGUAUUUUGUUUCAGACCUGUCCUAACCCAAUGGUGCCUGCAAGAGGUACAUCAGGAGGGGAAUAUCGUUGAGAAUGCUGCUCAGGACGUGUUUGGUGAUUGGCGAUUCGGUCUCCACACUGUGUCCUUGAGCUUUAUUAUUCUGCUUUUAUGUACUAAGCUCUUGGUUGCUCUUGGCCUGGCAGAUUCUGUCUCUUUAAGUAACUAAAUCUCGUUUUUAAGCUAUUCCUGGGAAAAGGAUGUUACACAUGAGUAGAAAAAUGCAGGCAAGAAAGGCUAAUUGAAUGAAAAGAGAGAAUUAGGUUAAAAAUAGAGUACAAUCUAGUAUCACAUUUUCACUAGUGUAACCUGAAAUGAAGGUGUCUCCAAGUCCCCAGUGAUGCCAGAGAGUUUAGAUGUUGGGCACAGAUGGAGACACCUAUUGAAAUGUGUCUGAAGAAGAUUAAUAGGACUUGUCAGUGUUGGGAAAGCACUGCUUUGCUGUAAAUUUCUACUAGCACAAGAUGAAUUACCGAUGAAUGCUCAGUUAUCAACCCCAUCACUAUCAUUGGACACUAAAUCAAAUUGAGCAGUUAUCUACAAUCAGAAAAUUUCUUUUAAAAAUAGGCAUACACCUUUAGGCUUAAACUCUUUAAUAAGACAAUAUCCUCGAUGGUAUGUGUGUGUUCACAAAGGGAUAUGAUUUAAAGUUUCUAUACAGAAAGCUUCUGUUCAGAAAUGAGCUCCAAGUUCAGUGUGAAAUCAGGGUUGUCAAACAAUAGAAGAUACUCAGAGAACGCUGGUUACAUAAUACAGAGUUCUGCUGGGGGUCUGAUCCAAAAUGGAUUUUCAUGCAUGUCAUUAGAUUUUGGAUCCAUCCUUAUUUAUGAGAGGUUUUUUAAAUCUCCGCUCUCCUCUUAUUUAUGGUGAUGAUAAACCCCCCCUCCCCUCUACCUUAAAGACUGAGCAUCCAAAUCAUACAUUAAUGCAAAAUAGCCAUCGUGACUCAGGAUAUUUGUAUAAUAAUAAUACCACCCCCCAACAUAUUUAGGAAAUUACAGUUUAGUAUAAUGAACUAUGUGAUGAAAGAGUCAAUGAAUAAUGUUUUAACUGAGAAUAUUUCUUUCUCUCCUUUAUGAAAAGGGAAGCUGUCACAAGUAAAACUACCACAAGCAUUUACCAGCCUACUCCUGAGAAUAUUACCUGCAUUUGCCCUGAUGAUGCUGAUGACAGUGAUAUUAAAUAAGCGUUAUAUACUUUUAGUUUCUAGGAUUUCUUUCCCUCUCACCCAGGCACUGCAUAUUUUAUCCAAGGAGAUUUAUCACGGUGUGUUUUCCAAAGUCAAAUUUUCCCUUUUAUUAGAGACAAGGGCAGUCAUUUGUGUUGAGGGAGGGAGACAGGUACAGAGCCUUUAUCUGAUCUGCGUCCCCAGCCACCACUACCUUCUUAAUCGACGGCAGAUUCCCACUCUGGAGGAUCUGGCCCUAUCUGGGUUACUUCUUAGCCAAGGAAUGUAUCCUUCCCUUCAUCUCUACAUAUCACACCUGUGAUGUAUGCUGCUUUUUGAGAAGGGAAUAAUAUGUUGUUUACCACAUAGCACAAUUUCAAAGCCUUUGUGUGUUUCUCAUCUCCAGCCAAAGCUUAUUAUUUACCACCUUAAAAAUUUACCAGGAUAAGAAAAAGCAGAAGUUAUUUUCUUCAUUUUUACACCCUAAUUUUCACGCAGCAAAUACCCUGCAUUAGGACCAGAUUCCACUCAGAUGGAAGUUAUCAACUUUCAGCAGAACGGGGCCGAUUUCAGCCAGCCACAGCCUGUGCCCUUCGAACACAGUCGCUUUACAGCAUCCCUGUGUUUAUUUUUUUUCUUUGGAGGGCAUGAUUCUUUAAACAUAUUUGUUUUACACAGAGCAGCAGUUGAAUCCUAACUUUUUUCUCCCCACAAACACGUAAAGAGAAUAUUAAUAGGGAAUAUUAACAGAGGUGAGUGCAGCAUGAUGCUAGUUAGGUUGUAGUAGCUGAGAAAUAUGAACUAGUGAACAUAAUCCAUAAACUCCAUUUGGUUACUAUAAUAUUCCAAUCUGUAUUUAUUACAACCCCACUCUGAUGCUUAUACAACUGCAAUUGCUAGAUUUAUACACUCUAAUGGUUUCACAAUAAGAAAAACCUGUGUCUUUAUCUUUCUUUUCCUGUCCAAAAUAACCCCUUCCACAUAUACUUCAGGCUUCUCCGGACCUUGUCUGGGUUUAAUCACAGGCUUUGGGACAAAAUGUGCAUUAUUAAGAAGUAUAAAUAUUUUCAGAAGCAAUCAAAGGGUUGAAAGAUUGAUUCGGCAUGUAGAUUGGAUUUAAUUCGAAGCAGCUUUGUUCUAAUGAGGACUACUGGGAUACAAAGACGGCAGCCGCUUAUGGCCACCAGUUGGGAACUUUGACUCGCUGCAGCAACCUGUCAAGAAUUCCAAGAAACUUCCAGGGUAAAGUUGCCUGCAGGGUACAUUUGCUGAAGCCUCUUAAUUUUUCCUGAGGUCAGCGGGUACCCAGUGUUGGGCAGCCCAGCCUCUCCUGGCCAGGCACGGUGGCCGUGUGUGCUCCGGCCGCUUCCCAAGAGACAGGGACAGUGACGAAGAACGCGGGAUUUCCCAAAGGAAUUUGGAAGAGGCCCAUGUCUAAGACAAUGCUGAGGAUUGGGCCAAAAUCCAGAUCCAGCCCUGAUUCCUUCAUCCAAGUAACCCUGUGCUGACCCACGACUGCUGAUGGAUUGCAGCGAUGCGGACCUUCCUCUCUCCUCACUGCCCUGCAUCAGAUCACCAGCAGGACCUGAGAGUACUCCUCAUUUCAAAUGUUCAAGAAUCUGGUUUUGAUCUUCUUUGAGGAUGAGGAAGGACUUUUGUCUAUGAACAAUCGAGCUCAUGGAGUCGCUUGGUGAAUUCCCAUUUGUACCCAGCAAAGACUAUGGAGAUGUUCAAUGAUACAAAAAGGCAUCAGCUCCCAAUCUGGGGGGGAUGCACCAUCACAAACCCAUUGGAAAGUGUGGGGACCAAGCACAGGGAGAAGGCUGAUGCAGCUUGUUCUCUGGCCCUGGGCAGUGGGUCAGCUCUUGGUCAUGGCACAAGCCACCAGAAGCCAGAGAAACAUCAUGGGGACUGUUUCUGUCUUGGCUGCUCCUCAUCAGUGCUUUGAGCUGCAUGAAGCCCUGAGAACCAAGCCAACACAAGUGCACCACCAGGGAUUUUCUCCUCUCAUGGUCUACACCUGAAGCACAGCACAAAGUUCCACCCUUUGCCUCUGCAGGUAGGAGCUCAAUCUAAUUUACAGAUUUAGUUUUAGUGAGAAGCAAGGCAAUAAUGCUAAAAUAACUCAUGCAAAUGGUCACCCUCUUCUAGAACCAACAUUGUUUUGUCAUUUUCUGUCCAUUUUCUGGAUGAAGCAGCCAGCGUGAGGAGGGCAUGCUGGCACACACCCCACUUGAUAGAUGAAAAGAACAAACUGACAAACAUUUAAAAUAUGCUGCAGCUUAUCAACAUCCCAGUGAAUAAAAGGUGAAUGAUAUUUUCCACUGGUUAUUCAUAGAUCUACACGGAUAUGCUGAUAAACUGCCAUUUAGUCCAGAGACUGGACAGAAAUAAAUCACCAGGUAAAAUACAAUAUUCCUAGUGAAAUCCUUUAUGGAAUGUGUUCUUGCCCCAAACCCCUCCUGGAAUAGGCACAGUAAUGCUCCCUGAGACCUGGCAGCCCUUCUAAGUGAGCAUAUGGUCUGCUCAGCUCUCGCAGUACUGGUGCUUGGUGAGUAAACAUGCCAUACUGUCAGAGCAAACAGGGGGCUCUUUAAUAGCAUGAAAUUCUGUGCAUGCUUCAAACUCCAUCAGUACUCCAGAAAUGGAUUUCUCUUCUCUUUUGGAGUGUGCAUGGUUUGCAGGAGGGGCAGGAUAAAAAGUGAGAGAGUCUCCUUGGAUGGUGUCUGUAACCAUCUCCCACAAAGCUGGUAAUGCAGCGGAAGGGUCUUGGCAUGUCAGAAGUUACAUUUUCUGGUGAUACUACAUCACCUUCUCUGUUCUUUUGAGAUGUCCCCUGAUGCAUUAUAACUCACACAGUAAUUGGAAAAGAAAGAGGGACCUGAAGGUAAAAAUCCCGAUGUUAAUCAAGGCUGGUAAAGGCCAGAACAUUAGCUGCAGUAAUUGUUUUUCUGAGGGAGUCAACAAAGCCGGGCUCGUCUGCGCUAGCGAACAGAUCCGGUCCUGCCUCUGUGUUCCUCACACUGGCAGAACAGUGCCCUGAAAUCACUGGAGCAGGGAUCGGGCCAGGAAUGAGCAGCUAAGUUGCAAAGCAAAUUAAUUCCUGCCAAAAAAGUUCAGCUAUGCUCAGAAGUAUGCAAAGUGUCUGAUUUGAGAAGUGUCAAGUAGCAUUUGUGACCAAUUAUCCAAGAUGAAGGGGGCAGAGCUAUGUUUACAUGUACUAAUCUUCAGCCAAAGUUUGAAAACUCCAAUUCAUGGACACGCAUCAAAUUUCCUUUCCAGGCUUGGCAUUUGCCUGUACGCACGCAUGCACAUUGCUCGGGGAUGACAGGAAAACAUGAUUAUGACUUGCAAAUAAUACGAAUAAAAAAAAAGAAAAAGUGAGAAGAGCUGCCAUGCAGCAGCAGUGUGGUAAUUAAACCUAUACUGCGAUAUGCAAAAAGAAUCAUGGACCACUGUAUGAGUAAAAUAGCUUUAUCGACUGUGCUGAAAUAUGAUGUGUGGUGUCUCUGUAUUGUUAUUUUUCCACAACCUGUGAAGACCUGGGAAAUGAUCUACACAAAAGAACAAGAAAUAAAAGCUGCCUCUGCCAUCUUCUGUUUAAUUAACAUAGGUAUACCAAUUUAAUGCAAUUAAUCAAGAUAGGAGGGAUUAAACAGUAACUCACAGUUGACAAUGACAGUGUUAGCAUUGCUGUGGCAUAAGAAGGGCUGCAAAAUGAGAGUGGUGACUGGGAACACUGUGAGGAAGAGCAAGCUGGCUGCAGUUUUGGGAGGUUUAUGCAGAUGUAUUGAAAUUUAGGGGCAGCUGAUUUUCCAUGUGGCCAAGUGUUUAUCUGCCCCUGCCCCUUCCUUUACCCUCUCAGACCUUCCAGGGUAAUCCCCAGAGUGGCAACAACUUUUAAAGUGACUCCUCUUUCCUCUAACAGAUUCCUGAUGCUAAAGGUCUGACCUUAAAAUGAGCAGUGCAUAGGGCAAGAAUGGGUACUGCAGUGAGCUUCUGGCCUUCAACCCUUCCAAAUACAGCUAUUUUGGUAACCAGAACAGUAUAUUCAUGAUGGGUGAGGGAACAGAGCCUUCCAGUGCAGGGCUUCUCAGCACAUUAACUCUAUCAGUGCUGGAUGCUGCGUACCUAUGCAAGAUGUCUGUGUCUUUUUAAGACUAUAAAUGCAGAUUUGCAGAAGUCUGCAGCAUUCUGUAACUUCAUGGUUGUGCUUUAGUGCCUGAUGCACCUAAAAACUGGACUGAAUUCUGUGGAUUUCCACAUGGAUCUGGGAAGAACUGUAAUCACUUGCUGCUGAGAGUAGCUCGGAUUUGGAUUUCUUGUUGGCAGGAGAGGCACAGACUAGUUUGCUACAAUGCGACAGUCCUCAUUAAUGUUCUUCAAACCCUGAUGUACUGGGACUGCCGCCGUUGGGUCAGAAGAUGGCUGAGUUUUCCAGGCUCAUUCUCUUGUCUUCAGAAUGUUAAAUUGGGUGAUAAUGAGUGGUAACUGUGUCCUUUUUUAUGGUGAAGUUGACACUUGCCUUCUAGUAAACAGACACAGAGAUGACCCUCCUCAUUUCUCACAGGUCACCAAACAGCCCCGGGAUGGUAGGGGUUAUUGGCCAUUUACCAAACUCUGUUUGACUUGGGUUCAUGGGUGAGAGAUGAAAGGCUGUAUAUUGCAUUACCAAUCCCUGAGGCCAGCCAGUCUCCCUAAAGAAGCAUUUCAUUUAGCAAGGCAACUGCUGGCCCAUGGGAAUCGGAGACUUGGGAAAAAGAGGACACAGUUUCAAUUGCAAAUGUUUCCUUAGGGCAGAUGUCUUAAAGCCACACAGAAACUCACUGAUUCAGUGUCACAAUAGUUGCUCCAGGACACUUAAUGACCAGCAGAUUUUCCCCUUUAAUUAAUCUCCCCUUUUUCCCAACAAAACAUCCGUUAGGUUACUUGUGGUGUUUCUGCCUCUGCCCUGCUGUUUUGUCCAUCUCCUUGGGCAAGACCAUUACAGCAGUUGUGAACCUUUUCCAAGAGCUUCAAAACUGACAGACGAAACAAGGAGUCCUCCUAUCACGCUUAGAGGUGUUGGGCUCUUGGGAGGAGAAAAGAGUACUCCUCAAGUGUCCAAAUAUUUUCCUUACCCUAGAGAAAAGACGCUGACUAAUUUUCUUGGCUGUAGUGGAGUAGUCAUUGCUAUUGCGGUAGUCCAAGUGCUGCCUUUUCACAAAUGAUGGAUGCAGUGCUUGAUGGUUACAGGAAGAAGGAUAUCUGGUUCAGACCAAGAAUUCAACCCAGACUUGUCCUGAAUUUCCAAUGAUCUGAAAAUCAGUGCUGUUCCAAAUUCAUUAUCACUGAUUAAAAUCCUCUUUCAGUUUCCUCCCUUGUUCUUUGUGAUGUGAGUCAUGAGACAUUCAGAAGUUGCAUUUGUAGUUCGAUAAUUUUACAUCAUUGUUGUAUUAGUGCAUCUGCCAAGCCAGCAGGUUUUUUUCUGUUUGUUUAUUUAUUUACCACUCCAUUUCCAGCAAGUUCUUGUUACCCAGUUCCCACUGACAACAGGGAAAGAGGCACAAGUCAGCUCAGAAAAUGAACGACUAGAAGGUAAGUGAAAAGAAUAGUAAAUGCAGGCCAUUCAUGUAACAGGAUCCAAUUCAUUUUUAUGCCAGGGAGAUUUUUAAAUGGGACUUCUCCCAGUGGAGAGCUCACAAUGCUCAAGGCCUGUUUCACUAUAAAGACAAUACAUAAUUAUUCUGGGCUUAUUAUUAUUUUUUAUCACUCCUUUUCCAGUUGCAGGGAGUGAAGGCAACGAUGAGAUCAGGACCCAGUUUAUUACUGUGCAGGCUGUGCAGCACACGGGGCUGCAGGACUCUGUGGAGGCAGGUAAAUGCACCCAGGCUGAAGGUUCAGGUGACAACGUCUGAGAUGGGAGAACCCAUCACAGCAAAAAUAGGGACUCCAAUCCUGGGAUCCUACUGCUUGUUGCUUUCAGCAUCUUUUUUUUUUCAUGCUUAUUCUGAAUCACUGGAAUGAUGAAUUGAAAAAAUGCCAUGUCAUUUGAAGCACUCUUUAUUGUAUUUAUAGGAAACAGAUCAUCUGUUCUCUCAGGAUAGUGGAAACUCAGUAUGAUGAACUCAUCAGGAAAAAAUGUAGUUUGGGUGUGACAGAGAAACUUGUGUUUUUUACCACAGUGCCAUCUUAAUUUCUGGUUUUGCUAUGACAGACUCAGGGAUACUGAACCAUCCUGGUUCCUGCUUUCAGGCUGGGGUCACAAGCUGGACUUGGAAGAAGAAACUUCCAUGCAGAGAUGUGACUACAGUGUGAAUACUGUGCCAGGCAGGGAUACAGGAAGGGGUGUUUGAAACCACGCAGUCAUUUCCACCCUGGAUUUCAUGAGGAGUUAUUCUUGUCUCAGAGAUGACGCAUUCAAAUAUCCUCCUAUGGAUUCCAGGUGAGUUAGUCACAUUUAGAUGCUUCCAAGUAAUACAGAGAAAGGUGCUGAGAAAAUGAUGAGUCUCUGCCUCGUCACAAAAAAAAAAAAAAAAAAAAAAAAAAAAAAAAAAAAAAAAAGCUUAGAAAAAGUAGAUCUGAGCAAAUUAAAUGUACUAGCCCUCAAAAUGUUCUAAGAAGACCUGGGACCAAAGGACUUUUACCUUAAAAACAGUAGGGAGGCGCAGUAUUUACUUUACUGACUGACCUAUCAGCUGCUCUCUGUCCCCAGAAACAGUUCAGGAAAUAACUGGAAGUAUCUGAAGACAUAAAAAGGAUAAUUAAGUUUCAUUGUGGAAAUAAGAGGGUAAUCUGUCCAGACAAAUCUAGGACCCAGUACUGAAAGCUGUAGUAUCUGAAUAUAAAAAAUGAGUAAUUUUGAAUAAAGAUGUCUAUCAGGACUGUAAAUUCAGAGAGUAAAAAGUAUCUUUGCUUAAUAGACCAUCUCUCUCUCCAUCUCCCUCUAACUCAUUUUCUUAUUCUCUUUUUUCCUUUUGUGUUAUUGCAAAAAUGCGUGCGAAAUCUGAUAUUGAGAAUGCUUUAGCUUCAUUUCAAUCUUCUAUUCUCAAAAGGUUUUGUUCCACUGGGAAGGUUCCCCCUGUGAGAUAACCUCAGCCGUGACUGCAUGAGGCUUGUGGGGUGACUUAUUUGCAGAGGAACAGCUUUAUUUUGAGGUGGCUCUGAGGCAGCCAGGUCCCCACUCUUCUGAGGCUCUUAAAGAUGUUUGUGAGCUGGCAUGAGAAAUCACCUGGGACUCAGAGCACACCACAAGUGCUUAGGACAGUGUUUUCUCUGCACCUUUUUUUGCUGAGCAGAAUUGCAGCACUAUAAACAAAUGUGAGUUUUGCCUCAUUCUUAGAUCCUGUGAGUUAUGAAAGCCCCCUCCAGAAGUAAUGAAUGUAUAGAUCAUUUUGACCAGAUCAUAAUCUAUUAGUAAAUAAUGCUCUCUGAAAGUGUAUAGGUGAAAUAAAGAACUUCUUGCUACUAUUGCUGUAUUGGUAUCAAGGAUUACUGAGGAGGCCAGCAUGAUCCUGAGGCUUUGUGCUGCUGACAUUUAAAUACAAUGCAGAAUUAACUACAGGGUUGGGUUAGCAAAUUCCUUUCUGGAUUAGGAUAUUCAGGAUUUACACUGCUGGAAACAGAACCCAAAACUAUACAAGGCUUACCUGUGCCUUGGCUGCAUCACCAACACCAACUUCAGCUCACUGACACCCUCACUCAUAUUUACAGAAUUUUUCCAUUAGAUUCCUAAUUUUGGUGGUGAUGUUAAUUAGCAAAUCACACAAUACUUUUCAGAAUGAGUAGAGUCUGAUAGAGCAAAACCCUAUAAGACCUAUGACUUUUCUUCACUCUCCCUGGAGGAAGCCCAAGGAUACCAGACUAAGGCCUAAGGCCAAUUUUCAGCACAGUCUAUAGGCCAUGGGAAAGUUAGGUUUAAAGAAGAUGUCACUUUAGGGACAUCUGUGUGACACAUGCUGCAGUGUCCAGACAUUGGAGACUAUGUUUUUGCUCUAAAUCUAGAGAGGAAGUCACUAGGAAAAAAAAAGGGAAAGAAGCACAGGGGAAUAAAAGUACUUUUGAAAGAGAAGAAAUCUACAUUUCAAUGAAAAUCCUUUCAAGGCAUUUCAAAUAAGAGUCUGAGAGAAAUAAUUACAAAGUUUGGAGAGAAAGAACGUUAGCUUUGAUAUCUUUUUCUUCUAUGAAGCAAUUAAAAUAAGCAAUUUUUCAAAUACUAAGCAGAAAAUUACUAAUGGCUGAACCCAAAAGCUUUCAUUUCCUUCUUGGGGCCUUUAUUCUUCUAAAAAAAGACCAAAAAAAUGUGAAGGUGGUUUUCCAGAUAGAUUAAUGCUUAAAGCAGUCGCUAGUUGGAUGUCAUAAAAACUACAGCAGCAUAGAAUAGCUGAGAUUAAGGGCUAGAUUUAAAUCAUGCAACAGUCCAGUUAAUAUCAAUGUCUAAUUAAGAAAUGCAUAAGAAGUCUGUAAUGUUGAUUUGAUGGAGAAAAACUCUAAUAGGGUUUCUUUUGGAAUUUUCCAUUUCAAUUGCUGUGUAGACUUUUAAUGGAUGUCCUAUCCAGUCUUUGGUAUUAGCAGAAAUCACCCUCAAAUUAAAACCAAGGCCUAAAAUGCAACACAGGUAGACAAAUUAGCUGGUCAGGGAAGCAGCCUGGGUAGAAUGAUAAUGUGAGCUGAAGCUGAAAUUUUAGUACAAAUAAAAGAGAACAAACGUCUCAAAUCUGGUGUGGAAACCCUCUCUGCUUCUUUUUUGAAACAAUCUAAAACCCUGUAAUUUGAAACAAUGUGAUGUUAACCCAUUUCCCCACCUCCCUAAGACUGCAGAAAUCCCUGACAAUUCAUACUUAGACACCUAGACCACUAAGCAUUAUUAAUUAGUCUUUUUUAUUUAAAAGACUUUCCAUAGUUAUGCAUAUUAGUAGUGUGUAGAGGUGGGUUCUUCUCUGCUCACGAUGGGAUUUAGAGCACACAGGUCCCUGUCACCAUCAGCGAGAACCAUUAAUCUGCCACUCUUCUUUGGGUAACUAAAUCUCUUAAACCUCUGGAGCAAAACUAAGCCUGUAACAUCUUCUGUGUCCCAUGGAUCAACCAAGAUGUUUGGUCUCUAGAUAUGAAAGGGAAACUGGGUUUGUGUGUGUCACUAAUGCCCUGAAUUUGCUAAAAGAGCAGCAGUGUAACUCUUGCUAUGCACAAAUCCACUUAGCAAAGAGGGGGAAAGCACGGUGCUGGGUUAAAGCAGCGGGGUAUUUGUUAUCAACACUUUGUUGUUGACCCGACAAAUCCAGAGGGAAUGAUCUCAAGAAUCCAGGAAGAUGGCACACUCAGAAUAACCCCUCUGACCAAUGCAUGCUGGGAAGUAUAAAGUUCAUUAGAACACAUUAAAAUAUAAUACGUCAGCCAUGGCAAAGCAAGGCACAUGAUUCCAUCUGUCCACUUGUCUCUUUCAGUACUAAAUCCAUCCAGAGACCUUUCAGAAUUCUAUCAUUAAGUCUUGUCACUUCCACAGAGAGUGGAAAAACUGGAGGUGAAAAUUAGAGCAACAGUGAAAUUUUGGUGUUUCUAAGCCACUUUUAUUUUUGGGUCACUGCCUGAAAUGUCAUGGUCCAAAUUCAGGCCUGACAUUGCUCUGUUGAUCCAUGAGGCACAAAUACGUCAUAUUAAAGAGCGAUACCAUGGCCCUGGGAGAUGCUCCAAGGAUUUUUCUCCUUGAAAGAGAUGGGGACAAGGGCACUCCCAGUGAGGCAUCUGCCUUCUCAACGGUACAGAAGGUCUAAUGUGAGGGCAUUCAGGCUGUUGGAGGAGUCUGGGUUUUUUUUCCCUGCUCUUGCCUGUAAGACUGGGAGGUGCCAUGGGUUGGGAUGAUGCUAAUAUGAUUAUUAUAUGAUUUAUUAUAUUAUUAUAUGAUGAUAUUAUUAUUAUUAUAUGAUGCUAGAGGAUUGUUCAGGUGGAGCUCUAAUAGGGUGCUUUCUCUGCAGCCUUUAUUAGAUUUAUGCAAUAUUUAGGGAAAAAACCAAGAAUAUGAAGCAGGCUGUCUUUUGCAAACACAUGCAACAGAAAAAAACCCAAACCUUAACUUGCCCAACACACUUGAGAGCCACAAAUUCUGUUACAGUUUUGCUAAAUGAGAGGAAUAUUUCUCCUCUUUUCCAUAAAACCAUCCUUUUGGACAUUACUGCAGUCAUGACCUUACUGCAGUUCCUGGAUUCCUUCUGAAAAGAUUAAAAUGAACUAAUACACCAGUGAUCUCAUCACAGCGUAAAGGACAUCUUACACAGGGGGAAAAAACUAAUCAGGAGAACUUCAGUGCUGCAUUUGUAGUAGCAGUAGAAAAAGCACUGUAACACCACUGUGGAAAAACAAGCUAAAGGUACAAUGCCAGAGAGGCAUUUUUCCAUCUUAUGACCCAUUUGGAUUUGUUCUACCUGAUCCUGCCUGUCACACCUGUCAUCCUCUUAGCUGUCUCCACAUCUAUCAUCUUUCCUUUUUUCCUGCCUUCAUCUACAAUUUCCCUUGUCUCUCCUGUGCCCUUCCUGCCUGUUUUAAUAUUCCUGGUAACUUUGAAUUGUACGCACUACUAUUCUCAACUACGUCCAAAAUGCAUUUUGCAGAGUACGUAUUUACAAUCACCUUGCACAAAAAUAUUCACACACACUUCAUCUGUAGUUUAUGUUAUUCUGGAUUAAGAACACCUUUUCCAUGUUUUUAUACAGUUCUCAGACCACGGGGUCAUGGAUGAUGACAGCUCUCAUCUACUUUGGAGCUGUUGUAUCUUCUAAGAGAAAUCAGAAAGAUGAGUAGAGAGAGAUGCUUUGCUUUCUUUGGUAGGAGAAUCUAUAAAUUAAUAUUUAUGUAAGUGAGACUUUCACCACACUUUUCAUGUUGUAUCACAUUUUGAGGUUGGAAACUGGAAUAGCUUGGGACUGGGUGAUUAAGGUCUUUUUCAACCCAAGCCUUUCUAUGAUUCUAUCAUCUUCAGGACAUGAUGAAUACAGUGUUAAUAAUGCAAUCUUAUCUGUUGUGCCCACAGGUGCUCCUCAGCUCUGCCUUGAGGUGACACCGUUAAGCAAGAGGUGACAAACCGGUUUCCUUUCUCAAGCCGAAUGUCACGUAACUGCCCAGGGGCCCGUUUUGGUGGGGGUUGCACCCUGACUUUUCGAGGAGAGAUGUGCUGCUGUGGCCCCUUCCCACCCUGCACCCCUGGCAGGAGGAGACGAAAUUGCUCAUUUACAGCUGUGACAUUUCUCAGGCAGGAAGAAAGGCAGAAGGCUGUAGGGGGGGAUCAGAGUAGCCACUUUUAGACACUGACAAAGAAACCUCCAGAACCCAUCCAGUGGAGAUGACCUCCUAGUGGUAGACCAUGUUGGUACAAAGGAUGGUGGUACCUUUCUAUCCACCCAACAAGACUUGCUACUCCUAAAUGGGGGAGCAAAUACAACCAACCCCAAAUACUCUGCAGUUGAUAGACCUGCUUCAGUGAAGAGAGCCCUGAUCAGUGAUGGAGUGUUGUAGGAUAUGUGCUGCAGCAUUAGGAAGGUCCAAAAAGCCCAAGGAGCGGUGCAGAGCAUCUGUUACCAACAAGAGAAUAGCAUGUGAAAAGCUGUUGUAAUUCCUGUCCCCAGCAGCCUAACUGGAAACACAGACUUCCCAGGGCAGAGAGGAUUUGGAAAACUCAGGAUCUUCAGUGAGAUCUCUCCCCAAGCCCUGCAGAUUUACCAGGUCAGCUCAGUCCAGGCCAAAGUUGCCGGGAAAGGUCCUCGGCUCUACUCCAAGUUCAUUGCUCUAUUGAUUGGGAAGAGGUAUUUAUUGUAGAUCAGGAUCUUGAGCCAAGAAAGCUGAAGCUGCACGGACUAAAUGGUCUAUUCCCAGCCCACAGAUAAAACAAAUGGCCAGUUUUAGCCUAAUCAUCACUUCUGCUGGAGGAAAGAGAAACUCUUUGAGAUCUGAAACUGGUGAUCAGCGCAAUCCUGAAUAUGACAAGAACAGACACCACCUAUCACUGGUGAGACCUCUUCAUUGCCCCCCCAGACUUUGAUCACCUCUUCAGCAUUUCAUAUCCAGCAUUGCAAAACCCUGGAUGUAGCCUAGGGAAAAAAAUACUGCACUAAAGCAAGACCAGAAGCUGAGUUACACAUCAAGGUGUGAGAAUUAUUCUUGACAUUGCAAGUACCUGUCUAAUGCUUGGGACACUGAAGCAUAAAUAUUUUCCUAAUGUUGGACUACAAGGUUAAUAAAAGGGGACAAGGCAAAGCUCCAGAUUCUCAGAGUGGUAAGAGAAAGGCUCUGGUUUAUAGAUGUUGAGCAUUUGUAUUUCUCUCACUUGCAUAAAGAUCCUCCUCCUUUCUCCAUAUCCUCUCAAGCAGGAGGGUGUAUAAAUGGCUGGAUGUUCCAAGUCAGACGAUGAAGAAGAUAAAUUCCAUGUUGUCCAAGCCAAAUGGUCUCAAAGUUUAGCAGUUUGCAGUUCUGGGAAACUGCAUCUUACUUCAAAGCUGAGUUUCUGUAAUCCCUGUUUCCAUUUUUGCACCUUGUCAUAUUGUUGGCAGCAAGGUCAAAUGCCCCAUGUUAUCCGAUAUUCUCCCUACACACAGGUCCUAUUGCUGAGAAAUCAAGUCCUCUUCCUCCCUUUUUGUUCAACUGAAGAAUUUGAGUUUACAUGUUGCACAGCAGUGCUUGUUUCUAGUACCUAGAUUAUUUUGUUCUCCUAUGGUCUUACUUUGUUAUGGCUCCCUUUUGAAAGUAAAGUCAGACCCAGCUGUCAAGUGAUUUGAAUUACCAGUUUUUGUCAGAGCAGAUAAUUUCCUUGUUUCUACUUGAAUCUCUCUUUUUUUUUUUCAUUCUAGCUCUGGACUCCAGAUAGUUUUGGCCUCGUUAUGCUGAGUAGAGGUGGAGAUUAAAUACUUCAGGUUCAAAUGUUUUGAGACAGUUUCCCAAUCUAUAAAAGUAGCCUUGUUCCCUGAUUUUUGCUGUUUAGCUAUAUUGCAGUAAAUACAGCAUAGCAGACUGCCCUGAACCAGAACCUCAUCCUCUCCCACUGCUUGCUGAAAUAAUAAUUCUUCCUGUCAUCUACAGAUUUUAUUAGCACAAUUUUAUGUACUAUAUGAAAAUUUCAUAAUAAAGUUCAUGAUACUAUUAACUGCAAUUUGUGUCAAACCAAAGUAAAACCUGACCUAGCCAUAGUCUGUGACAGAUUAGGGAAAGAUUAUUGGAAAGACAACUCUGUACCUUCCUGAUUUCAAAAUCAGCAGUUAAAAGACAUCCAAAGCUGAUGUUUAAUAUUACUCAGUGAAGUUUCAUGGUUUUUAAAAUCCAUAUAUUCUUUUGUUGUCUCCAAGAUUUUUGAAAAUGAGUUCCAUCAUUGAAUUCACACUGAGGAGAAAAAUACUUCCUUGUAGCAGGUGCCCUAUAUCAUAUUAUGAAAAAGAGUGAAUAAUCAUUCCCUUCUUACCUUCUCUAUUCCAGGUUUUAUAGGUCAGACAUUGUGUUCUCUUUUUCUUUUUCAGAUAUCCUUUACUUAAAAGAAGCAGGAAGGUGUUAUAAUUUUCUGCAUCUCUUUUGAGUCAGAGUGACCAGAACUACUGUGGAUUUAUACAUGGCAUGAGGAUAUUUUCUACAUUUUCAUUCUCUACUCAUAUUCUUCUAUCUUAUUUUCCCUUGUGCGGGGCACUGAAUAGAUGCUUUACAGUGAAUUAUUCACAAUCACUGAGAUCUUUCUGGCACAGGUGCAUCUACAGCCUCUGUGUGUGUCUGUAUUGCACUUUUAUUACUCUCCUCCCAGUGAUAUUGAAUUUCUCCUGUUUUUCUAGUACUCUGGCACUUAGUAUGGUGAGAUAUUUUAGCUUGGAUAGUGUUGGAUAAUUCUCUAUCACUUACACGUAUUUGAUCAGCAUAGUUGGUGACAGACUCCUGGGGGGCCCUGCUCAGUAACUUCCCCCACUCUGAAAACUGAGUAUUUACUCUUGUAACCAUCACAUUUACAUCAACUCAGUUUAAAGCAUUGAAACCUUCUCAAAGCCUGUCUAAAAAUCUGUGUGCCCUUGCUGGAGAUGCACAUGAAGUUACUGAUUCCUUUGGCAGAACCUUGCUAAAAGGACUUUGUGCAGAGCAAGGAAUGGUUCUGAAUAUCACUUGGCAUUAAAAGCUGUGGUGGUUUUGCUUGGUUAAAUUUAAAAUAAUUUCAAAAGGAGAAUGUGUUUUUCUACUUAAGACUAUGAUCUGGCAUUUGGGAUAUACAGGUUGUACUCCUUCUCUGCCAAAAAUCUGUCUUACUGAGCAAGUUGUUUCAUCUUCCUGCAGUGCAGUUGCUCAGAGGUGCAAUCAUUACUUAUUUCUUCCAUGUCCUCUCUUUAGCUUCUAAGCUUUCCAGCAUAGGGGUAGCAUAUUUAUAACUAGAUUUUUCUUUAAACCAUUUUGUUUGGUAACUCUGGAUGAUGUCAUGAUCCAAGCUGAUAAUGCAUUUGUUAAGGUCAGAUAGUCUGAUAAGGGCGUUAAGUCACUCCUUUUAAUCAAGCUCCAUUUCACUCUUUCAGUUAAUACUUUUUUUCAAUUUCAGUAAUACAUUGUCUCAAUGAGAAUAUUUGUUUUGGCCACUCUAUCAACCAGCAUGCCAAAAUACAAAAUCCUGUGUUAUUUAGAGUAAAAUUAAUUUGCUUUUAUUCUGCUGUUUUAAAGAAACUGGUUAAUCUCUAGCAGUAGUAAUAAGAGUAAAGGAAAAGUCAUGAGAAUCUAAUUUCAUGAGAUUUCAUUAAGGUGUGAUAAUUAAGAAACAGGAAGAGGACAAAAAAUCACAGAGCCUCAGCACUGAAGAUGUUGUGCCUUCAGAGUUUGAGUAAUAACUGUUGGGUCAGUGACUAUAAACCAGUCCUAUAAAUGCAGAAUAUAGGAUCUGAACAGGGCAUUUCCUCACAAUGAUUAUGCCAGCAGCUAAUGGUCACAUCCAGUGGGUCACCUGUUCUUCCUCCCUCCCCUUUUGAAGAGACACCAUCCCUGUUUUCACUCUGCAUCUGUCAUAAGGACACAUUGAUUUCCUUUCGGAGGGAAACACAUAUUUCUUCCCUCCUGCUAAGAAGAUAAAUCUGACAGAUUUUAAUCAAAUGUAGUUGUUCACAACUAUAGAAAUGUUUCCAGUGGCACAGAUGAAAACCUUUUUUUUUUCUUUCUAUUUUUUUUUUAAAGGGGGUUUCUGGAAGUCAAGUUUAUUUGGAGAGUGCACCUGUGCUAAAAAUUUUACUAUAUGCACCAGCAGUUAACAUUUGGGAAUGCCCUAUGGGCAGGUUUAACUUUACUGCCCUCCAACAUAAUGCCUGUCUUGUAGUGGUAACCAUGAAUACUGCCAUAGUUAAGGGUCUGUCAGUGGUUCUGUCAUAAACUCCCCUGUUUCCAGGGUUUUUAUAACUCAGCCAUAAAAACUCUCUCCAAGCUAAAGCGUAGCUUACCAAGGCAGACCUGAUUCUGAUCUUGGAAAGGCAGAUGAUACAUAUCCCUCUGUGUCUUCUGAAAUUAGCUAUGAUCCCCCAGGAAGGGCUCUCACAAACCAUGGGUGCCAUACAUGUCCAGCAAUAUAUGAUAGAUGAAGGGGAAAUAGUGUCUUAGAAAGGCUUUCAUCCUCUUCAAAUGGCAAAUAAAUUGGCCUUUUUACUUUGAAGGAGGAGAAGUCAAACAACACAGUGCUUUCCAAUUUAAAUUGCAUUUUUACUUUAGCCUUUUAUUUCUUAAAGUAACAUUAGGAGUUCAUUAUUGCUUAGCCUGGGCCAUAGGAAAAUAUCUGAUAGCAUUUAGAGAUGUGGAAAAUCAUUCACUAUUUAAGUAUUACUCUGGAUUUAAAUCUGUGGGAAUGAAUGUAGAAAUGGAAAUCCUGAAGAAAAAGAUCACUCAAGUCUGAGUAGAGCCAAUGUUCAGCAACACAGAAACCAUGGCUAUUUUGACCUUGAAAGAAAGGGAAUGGUGUUAAAAAAGUAAAAUUGCAAUUUAAAUUUCUGUUAAUUUGUCUGUAGAUUUAACCCAGCUUGUAGGCAAGGCUGGCUGCAAAGAGCUCCAGGAGUAGAGCAAAUAUUGGUGCAUAAUAAAAGUAUUCUAAAAUGGCUGCUUGUAUAGAUUUGGAAAUAGCUUAUACAUUCCUCAGUAAAAUUAGAAUGUGAUAGAUGGAUGUUAGCUGAACGAUGGUUCUGAUGCUGUGUUAAUGCCCACUAAUUAAAAAAAUACAGCAAACUUUGGAUGCUGGAUAUAUUAGGGUUGUGGAAGAUUUUUUUUUUUGGGAGCAGAAAGAAUUGUUCAACUCUGCCAGGAUAUCCACAGGCUUUCCAUUCUACACUGAAUUCUAUGCUUUCCAUUAUCUCCUAAUGGUUGAGGUGCUCCAGUCCUCCUUAUUUCCUUCCUGAAUGCUCCAAAGAUGAACACUCACUUUUAAACACUAUUUCUGCUGCUUUGUUAUAGGGAACUUUCAUGGUUUGUGCCCUGAAUCAGAUAAUUCAGAUCUUACUCCUCUUAGGAGGCCAACAAGAUGAUCUUUUGGUGACCAAGGUUUCCUCUAACAUUUGUGUCUUUAUGAGUCUCCUCUCUUCAAGAUAUGAAGGAAGUUUCUCCUUUUAAGGAGUCCAGUCUCCCAGUAAUCUUGGGGUGGAUUUGCGCGUUUAAGUCCCAUCAAAUGCUAAUAGGAAUUCCUUGGUCAAAUCCUCCACCCUGUCCCUCUUCAUGCCUCACUGGGAGAAAAGAGCCAUUAGUGUGUUCAAAAGUAAAUUUCAAGGUUUCCUUUUUGUGUGUUCCAAUGGCUGAGGUUUAUUCCUCUCCUCCUUUUUAUUUUAUUGUGAGGCACCUUGAGUUAUUUGCAUGAUAAGAAACCCUGUAAAUGGAUUAUAUUGUAAUGCAUUGUGUAGGUUUAAUGCUGACAACAGCUUGGUUUGGAAGUAAGAUAGCAACUUAGAUUUUUAGUUUCUGAUGUGCCGUGCAGAGAAAUGCCUUUUGAGAAGCAUGAGGCAAAGCAGGAGGGAUGAGGAGGAGGCAGCCAGAGUUAAGUUGUAUGAAUAACAUGAGGGAAGGCCGGCGUUCAAGACAAGAUGAAUGCAUUAAUUUCUUGGCCCUCAAACUGGGGAGAAUCAACAGCACAAAUGCCAGUGGCUCCCUCUUCUAUACUCUAACACUUAAUGUGUUUUUCCCCUUCACUUUUUUCCAAGGAUAGCAGAGAGAUGGCAAUGUUUUUUGGUAACAGCCUUUCACAUGGGGUGGGUGUACCUUUGCAGACACUGUGCCUAGAAUAUUAUGUCAUUAUAUACUACCUAUUUAGAGGAUGAAGUCGGUCCCCUGGAGAAGCCCUAUAUUUCAGAAAAAAUGGCGAAAUGAGCAAAAGGUCUGUUUUUUGGGGAAAGUAGAUUGCCCUUAAGUCUCACUGGACCAUGUAAUGAGUGCUGGUGCAGGAGGUUUGGCAGUCUGAGCAUGGAAAACAUACACUUCCCAGGAACAGUAUGCUUAAAUCCUGGCAGAAAGAGCUUGGCUUUUCCUCCCAAGGUAAGAAUGGAGUUUGCAUGGAGUGGGUAUUUUAGAUAACGCUAUAAAAAUAUAAACUUGCUGUGGAGACUAAAGUGCUUUUCAUCUCUGCUAAGUCCUGCACAAGGCUACAUUUCACGUUACUUGCUUGAGAUACUUUGUGCGAGUGGCAGAAAUAUUCCUCUUGCUCCCUUUCAGUUGCAAUAAAGCUCUCCAAUUUCUUAAACUUUGUUCCAUAUAACUCACAGCUUGACUAAAAUGAUAGCAAUUAAAUCAAAGGUGAUGACUUUGUUUCACUUGUAUCUUGUUGCCUUGAUUCUUCAUGGUACCCAGCACCCUUGUGUUGGUUUAAAGUUCUUGGGCAUUUUAAAGCUCUUGGGCAUGUCUUCAGCUUUUGGCUUGUACAUGGUAUAAUUUCACACUAAGAAACUAUUCACAUAUCCCACGUAUUUUAAAUAACUCUUUAUUUUCUGUAGUGGUUGAAUGGAGGAAGCUGAGCAGUCGUGCAAAAUUUAUGCAACACUUAAAUUAAAAUGAAAUGCUGCUUGGAAUCACUUUAGGUUUCAUUUUUUAGCUCAAAGUAGUAAUGAAUAGCAUUUUGAAAAGCACUUUGAUCAUUGCUCUGUUAAAAAAACAACAGAGGAGAGAGGGGAGUAUCUUUAGGGGAGAAGCCUUUGAAAUCAUAAAGUGUAACUAAACUUAGUCAGCAUACUGUGACCUGUCAGGAAAGAGCUGAUCCUAUUUAAGCUCUGCUGCAUGCUGCCAAAAUACUUUAAAGAGAAUUCUGUAGAUUUCUGUGUUUCCUGACAUCAGUCUGGCACAAGA